CAUUUUCCCAGGGCCUCCUCUGGGCUCCUGGUCUUCGAGUCCCAUAACCGUACCUUACUCUGUGCCAGGCCUGUAGACUGGGGCCUGGACUUGCUUACUCUGUGCCAGGCCGUAGCAUGGGGUCCUGGUCUUCCUGUCUUGGACUAAUUGGGUCAUCCAACAUUCACCCACAUCAACAACAAUAGAUGCAAUGCGACAUAUUCGUGAAAACUAAUGCAAUCAUCCUACUGCAUAAUCAUGAUGCAUGAAACAUGAUAAAGCAUUUUAUUUAAAAGAUUCAGUUUAGUUCCACUCACCUCUGGCUGACUCUGACAACACCGAAGCAGCUGAACUCACUGCUGGGGUCCUCGGUUCCUCGGGUCCGAACCUACACAGGUGGACUCAAAUGAGGGACCAAACAUAUAUAAACAUGACUCUAAUAUACCCCCCAAAAACCCCCUAAAACAUCAUGAAAACAUCACAGAAAAAUAUGCAUGAAGUGGCUGAACAGGGCACUUUCGGCGGCACCUUCGGCGGCCGAAAGUCCUGGACAGAGACGAAACUCAGCUAGGUUCGGCGGCCGAAAGUGCCAGACAGAGACGAAAGUCUCUUUUCGGGGGCAACUUCGGCAGCCGAAAGGCCUGCCUCCCCAGCCAUGUUCGGCGGCCGAAAGUACCUUCGGCUGCCGAACCUGGUUUCUGCCAAAGGGCAGAAACUUGGCUCCCUUUGCACAUUUCGCCUCC
rnacentral:lncRNA from 1 species